rnacentral:tRNA from 1 species
GGUGUCGUUGGUCAGGUAGACCGUCUCGUUGAAGGCGUGGUAGAGACGCGAGGAGGCGAUCAUCGCCGCUUCGGUGUCU